UGAGAACCAGAAACUACGUGCU
rnacentral:piRNA from 1 species